rnacentral:rRNA from 1 species
AUACGGAGGAUCCGAGCGUUAUCCGGAUUUAUUGGGUUUAAAGGGUGCGCGGGCGGCCAUUUAAGUCAGCGGUUAAAUCGUGGGGCUCAACCCCAUUCUGCCGUUGAUACUGGGUGGCUUGAUUGCGGUCGAGGUUGGCGGAAUUCGUUGUGUAGCGGUGAAAUGCAUAGAUAUGACGAAGAACACCGAUUGCGUAGGCAGCUGACCAGACCGCAAAUGACGCUCAUGCACGAAAGUGCGGGGAUCGAACAGGAUUAGAUACCCUGGUAGUCCGCACAGUAAACGAUGAAUACUUGUUUUCGGCGAUAUAAUGUCGGAGGCAAAGCGAAAGCGAUAAGUAUUCCACCUGGGGAGUACGCCGGCAACGGUGAAACUCAAAUGAAUUGACGGGG